rnacentral:rRNA from 1 species
UUAAAUUGAAGAGUUUGAUCAUGGCUCAGAUUGAAUGCUGGCGGCAGGCCUAACACAUGCAAGUCGAACGGUAACAGGAAACAGCUUGCUGUUUCGCUGACGAGUGGCGGACGGGUGAGUAAUGUCUGGGAAACUGCCUG